GUAACCGUGAGGUUAUAUCAGAAGAAAGAGAAACUACAAAAUUCGAUGCCGACGAACAGGAACCGUAUACAAAAGCAUAUUUAUUUGGGUAAGCAAGCACAUUUUUGUAACGUUCUAAAAUUACAAAAAGUCAAGUGUGUAGAUACGGCGUUUAUUGAGGGAAAGAAGAUUUC
rnacentral:ncRNA from 1 species